rnacentral:lncRNA from 1 species
UUUUCUCCUAAGAUAGAGACCUAGUCUGACGAACCUUCUCCUAGGAUCAAAAUCUUAGUCUGAUGAAUCUUUCUCCUAAGAUAACCAAAAACAAAAAAUCUUAGUCUGAUGAAUCUUUCUCCUAAGAUACACAAAAAAAAACGUUUGAAUUUGAAAAAAAAAACAAAUACAACAACGAUUGAAAAAAAAAGAAGAGAAAAGAAAAACGUUUGAAAAAAAGAGUCAUUUUCUAACCAGGCGCCCACCUGUAUAACGAGAGGAAUACAUUUCAGUCUUUACUUUUCAAGUGUUGAAAUUGGGAGUCCGCCCAUAAUAACAGAGGCAUACAUUCAGUUUUUACUUUCAAGCAUUGAAGUUGGGAGCCCGCCCAGAUAACAGAGGCAUACAUUUCAGUCUUUACUUUUCAAGUGUUGAAAUUGGGAGCCCGCCCAUAGAACAGAGGAAUACAUUUCAGUCCUUACAUUUCAAGCAUUGAAGUUAGGCGCCCA